ensembl:snRNA U6 U6 spliceosomal RNA
GUGCUCUCUUCAGUAGCACACAAACCAAAAUUGGAACAAUACAGAGAAUAUUAGCAUGGCCCCUGUGCAAGGAUAACACACAAAUUUGUGAGGCAUUCCAUAUCUUU